ACCUUUCUGCAGAAUGAAUUGUGUCUUCUCCACUCCUGCUCAACUUUUGUUGAUGAUGAUUUUGUGGAUGUCCAAGCACAAGCUGCACAUUCUGCUUGUUACAUUCUGUGGUUGAAAGUGCAAGUCCCUGAGUCUCUGGUGAAUCAGCUCCAAGAGAAGCUAAGAGAUGAUGAUCUGAAGACCCUGCUGAAUAAGUCAUGCCUAGAGAGAUCCUCAAUGUUCAAUUACUUCAUGAACUAGAAGAAAGCGUAUGAGCUACAUGGGAUGUAGUAGAUCUUAUUACUCAUUCUAACAGUUAGUUUAUCUUAUUUUAUGUCUGGUACAUUUGUGUAUGAAUUUGGCUCCCGUGAGAUGAACCUUGCACUUUGCAGGUUAAAAGCAGAGUUUAAAUAACUCCAUACAUGUAUUUGUAAGAACAUCCAUAGGAAGUUGCUUUCAUAACAAGUGUUCUUGAUGUGUUUCAUAUGAAACUAUUUACAGUAACAAUGUUAGUUUGAGGUCAUAUUUCAUU